rnacentral:RNase_P_RNA from 1 species
GAGAGGGAGAGUGCGGCUGACGGUGGCAUCUAUUUGCCGCUGAGGAAAGUCCCCACUCCGUCCGGUUACGCAGCCGCAUUCAAGUGCGGGUGGCGAGAGUCACGGCUCUGACACAGAAACGAUACGGCCUUUAACUGAUGUUUAUGAUGCAGAUUAAAAGCUGCUGAAGCGCUUAUUUAGGUUUUAGGACACGAUGGAACGGUGAAUCCCUGCGGGUGCAAGCCAGAACAGAAGCAUAACGGCAUUUCCGGGCCGGCUUCGGGUAUGGCGCGACAGCUGAAUGCCGCAUAAAAACAGAAUGGGGCUUACUACUCCCACUC